rnacentral:rRNA from 1 species
UGGGGAAUUUUGGACAAUGGACGCAAGUCUGAUCCAGCCAUGCCGCGUGAGUGAAGAAGGCCUUCGGGUUGUAAAGCUCUUUUGUCAGGGAGCAAAUCCCAGUCGCUAAUACCGGCUGGGGCUGAGAGUACCUGAAGAAUAAGGACCGGCUAACUACGUGCCAGCAGCCGCGGUAAUACGUAGGGUCCAAGCGUUAAUCGGAAUUACUGGGCGUAAAGCGUGCGCAGGUGGUUACGCAAGUCUGAUGUGAAAUCCCCGGGCUCAACCUGGGAACUGCAUUGGAGACUGCGUGGCUAGAGUGUGGCAGAGGGGGGUGGAAUUCCGCGUGUAGCAGUGAAAUGCGUAGAGAUGCGGAGGAACACCAAUGGCGAAGGCAGCCCCCUGGGUUAACACUGACACU